CAUGCAAGUCGAACGAAUCCCAGUGGGGGUAACUCUGCUGGGGGAAGUGGCGAAAGGGGCAGUAAGGCAUGGGUAACCUACCCCCGGGACGGGGAUAGCCUUCCUAACGGAAGGGUAAUACCCGGCGAGUCGGUCGAGAGGCAUCUCUUGGCCGGGAAAUGAAUUUCGCCUGGGGAGGGGCUCAUGUGGUAUUAGCUUGUUGGUGAGGUAACGGCUCACCAAGGCGUAGAUGCCUAGCGGGUGUGAGAGCACGACCCGCGCCACUGGCACUGAGACACUGGCCAGACUCCUACGGGAGGCUGCACUCGAGGAUCUUCGGCAAUGGGCGCAAGCCUGACCGAGCGACGCCGCGUGUGCGAUGAAGGCCUUCGGGUUGUAAAGCACUGUCGAGGGGGAGGAAGGCGCAAGCUUGACCUAUCCCUGGAGGAAGCACGGGCUAAGUUCGUGCCAGCAGCCGCGGUAAGACGAACCGUGCAAACGUUAUUCGGAAUCACUGGGCUUAAAGGGUGCGUAGGCGGGCGUUCAAGUCAGUGGUGAAAUCCCCCGGCCCAACCGGGGAACUUCCGCCGAUACUGAUCGUCUCGAGGGAGGUAGGGGUGUGUGGAACUUCCGGUGGAGCGGUGAAAUGCGUAGAGAUCGGAAGGAACGCCGGCGGCGAAAGCGACACACUGGAUCUCUUCUGACGCUGAGGCACGAAAGCCAGGGGAGCAAACGGGAUUAGAUACCCCGGUAGUCCUGGCCCUAAACGAUGGGUACCAGAUUGUGGACUUGACAUGGGUUCACAGUCGACGCAAAAGUUUUAAGUACCCCGCCUG
rnacentral:rRNA from 1 species